rnacentral:rRNA from 1 species
UUGCCUCAGUAACGGCGAGUGAAGCGGCAAUAGCUCAAAUUUGAAAUCUGGCUUCGGCCCGAGUUGUAAUUUGUAGAGGAUGCUUCGGCUUACGUACCGGUCUAAGUUCCUUGGAACAGGACGUCACAGAGGGUGAGAAUCCCGUUUGUGGCCGGCACUUCCGCCAUGUGAAGCUCCUUCGACGAGUCGAGUUGUUUGGGAAUGCAGCUCUAAAUGGGAGGUAAAUUUCUUCUAAAGCUAAAUACCGGCCAGAGACCGAUAGCGCACAAGUAGAGUGAUCGAAAGAUGAAAAGCACUUUGGAAAGAGAGUUAAAAAGUACGUGAAAUUGUUGAAAGGGAAGCGCUUGCGACCAGACUUGCCCGCGGAUGCUCAACCGGUCCUUCGGCCGGUGCACUCUUCCGCGGUCAGGCCAGCAUCAGUUCGGGCGGUCGGAUAAAGGCCUUGGGAAUGUGGCUCUCUUCGGGGAGUGUUAUAGCCCUUGGUGCAAUACGGCCCGCCUGGACUGAGGCCCGCGCUUCGGCUAGGAUGCUGGCGUAAUGGUCGUAAGCGGCCCGUCUUGAAACACGGACCAAGGAGUCUAACAUCUAUGCGAGUGUUUGGGUGUCAAACCCGUGCGCGAAAUGAAAGUGAACGGAGGUGGGAACCUUAGGGUGCACCAUCGACCGAUCCUGAUGUCUUCGGAUGGAUUUGAGUAAGAGCAUAGCUGUUGGGACCCGAAAGAUGGUGAACUAUGCCUGAAUAGGGUGAAGCCAGAGGAAACUCUGGUGGAGGCUCGCAGCGGUUCUGACGUGCAAAUCGAUCGUCAAAUUUGGGUAUAGGGGCGAAAGACUAAUCGAACCAUCU